AACAGCCUUCCACUUUUCCCGCUCCCUCAGAGAAUUUUUGUUCUACCUCAGAGGAGUUCUGUUCUGCCUCAGAUGAGUUCUGUUCUCCUACAGAGGAUUUCUGAUAUACCUAUCUUUUCCUCCUGAGUCAGUUUGUUUCAGCCAACAACAAGAGAAAAGUUGAAGAACAGACAACAGAAGUAUUUUACACCUCUAGCUUUGAAAAAAUUCCAAUUCUGGAAUCAGGCACAAAAAUACUGAGCUUAUUCUGUUUAAAAACACGAAUAACUUUCAAAUAAUCAAUUCUAAAUAGCUAAUGAAAUAAACAAUUGAACUAA